rnacentral:lncRNA from 1 species
UAGCUAUUGCUAACAUCAAAACGCCGAUCAUCAAAUUAGUUAUCUCUCUAAGCUAAAAAAAAACAUGAGAAACCCUACGAAGAAAGACAACGUUGGAACCAAGACGACGCCGUGUUGCAGCAAAGUAGGGUUGAAAAGAGGGCCAUGGACGCCGGAAGAAGACGAGUUAUUAUCUAAUUACAUCAACAAAGAAGGCGAAGGACGGUGGCGGACUUUACCUAAACGGGCUGGUCUUCUCCGAUGCGGAAAAAGUUGUCGUCUAAGAUGGAUGAAUUAUCUCCGACCUUCUGUUAAACGUGGCCAGAUUGCUCCCGAUGAAGAAGAUCUCAUCCUCCGCCUUCACCGCCUUUUAGGCAAUCGGUAACUUUUUCCUCUCUUUUUUUUCAAUGAAUUUCAUUUUAGGGUUUUGGAUUAGAUUUCUGGAUAUCUCAAGAUAAACUGUCUAACUUAAUUUGACUUCGAAUUUAGUUAGAUUCAAUGCAGAAACCUCGAAUCUUGUACAAAAAAGUUGUAGGUCUAGGGUUUCAGUGUUUUAGGGUUCUUAAUGGAUUCAUUUUGUAAUCAUUUUUUGCAUACGGUUUCUAUAUAUAUAUACAUGUGUGUGUGUGUGUAUGCAACAUGAAUGAAUGAAUUUGCUGGGUUUUUUUUAUGUAGGUGGUCACUAAUAGCUGGAAGAAUACCAGGGCGUACAGAUAACGAAAUAAAGAACUACUGGAACACUCACCUGAGUAAGAAAUUGAUUAGUCAAGGGAUCGAUCCUCGAACGCACAAGCCUUUAAACCCUCAACAACUCUCACCAUCACCCCCAACACUCAAACCUUCACCUUCUUCAUCAUCAUCCAUGGCGAAACCAAACAAUCCUCCUUCCCCUCUUCCUGUUCAUGUCGUCAACGCUAACAAGCAAAAUGAUUAUUAUGAUGGGAGCAAUGAAGAUCAUCAAGGGAUGAUCAUGAACAAUGACCAUUAUCAGCAACAACAAGAUCAUGAGGAUGAUGUGUUCUCUUCUUUUCUGAAUUCAUUGAUAAAUGAAGAUGAUGAUGCAUUGGUUUCGAAUUUGGGACUCUCACAAGGAUGGGAAUCUACUCCCUUCGAUCAACCAAAAUGACCCAAUAGAGGGUUUGACGAUGAAUGUUAUUUAUAUAGUUUUUUUCAAAGUGUGUUGAUUGUAUGUUUUAAUCAUGUUGUUGCCAAACUUAAUUCAUCAAACCUAAUGGUUUUUUUUAUGUUGUGUUUGAAAGAAACAUAUGAAUGUCUUGUUUUAAUCAAAGACAGAUAUAUUUGUGGAACACUACUUUGAUAUAUAAACUUGUGUUUGGAUGCAUUUUCUUAAUCAAAUUUGAGUUUAUAUUUAAUGUACUGAUAGUGUAUAAUUCAAUUAAAUAUCAAAUAAUGAUAAUGCCAUUGAAAAUGAAGUCGAUUGAAUUUUCUUUUAAAUUUUUUUUAAAGAACUGUCUAUCAUCUAAUCGUAUAAAAAUACACUAUUAACACAUUGAAGUAUAAACUUUUAAAAAACCAUUACAUACUUAUUUAGUAAUGGAUUUGAAAUUCAAGGAGGAAUUCAUGAACUUGCGAAAUUUUUAUUUUUUAUUUUAUAAUUUUUAAAUAUAUAGUUAUUCAUAAUAUAUGAAUUUCACCCAAAUGCUAAUUUGAUCAAAUCCCUUUCAUUUGCUAACCUUAACUCUAAUACAUAUUUUUAGACAUUUUGUUAUUUAGAUUUUAGGGAUUAAUGGCUGUUUUACUUAGAUUAUGAAGAGCUUUUCAAGUAUUAGAAUUAAAAAAAAAAAGCCAUUUUACACUCAAAUAUUUGAAAUAAUUAAGUAUUUUAACAAUAAAUUAAAUUUAUUAAAAUGACAUCACAUAAUUUAUUGACAGUGUAUAAAUUUAUACAUUAUCUAUACAUUAAAUAUGUAUUUUUUGGACUAAAUUUAUAUAUAUAGUGAGAGUUGAUCUUUUAAUAUAUAUUUUAACUUUCCCUUCCAUAAUUGAAACCCUAAACCUUAAUUUUUUAAAAUAAUUAAAUUAUUAUCAUAUAGUUUCUCUCUUACAACACUUAAAUCAAUCCAAAUCCAAAUUUUCUAACACAUUGUUGAGUAACAAUGAAAACAAAGACAGCAAGCAAAGGCCAAAGGACUAAAUUAAAAACAGCAAGCAAAGCAAAAGGAUUGAUAAAUAAAGGUAAAUAUGAGUAAAUUACUUCAAAAAAUAAACCCUAAUUGUAGGUCUACUUUACUCUCAAAAUUAAACUACCAGUCCUUUUAAUUGGUAGCUGGUUCAUUUUGUGCUACCUAAUUUUUCAUAGCUUCUACGUACCCGUUCUUCCAUGCAAAAAUAGAUUUUUAAAAUCGCCUAACGGUCAACAAUAUAUCUACGUAAAAUAAAGUUUUUUUUAGAAAUAAUAACUAGUAAUUAAAUUAAAGUAUAAUUUAUCAAUUGAGUCUUAACUUGACUGGCAUAGGCAUUAUUGGUAACGCAAGAGAAUUAUUUACUUUCUAUUUAUGAGUUGGAUGGGGCUAUAGAUAGUUCUAACCAUUGCGCCAAAAAGAGCUGAUAUGAUCAUAUUGUUCAAAAAAAAUUCUAGUGUAAUUUUUUAGAUUAAUAAUGAUUUCAUAACAAAUCAACUGGGCACCAACUCGGUUAGGGAAAUUUUAUUUUACUCACAAUUUAGUUUUUUUUUAUUUCACAUGUUAUUAUUAAUUAGUUUCAAACCGUAAGUUUCAUUAUUUAUUUUAUGAUAUUUUUAAACUAACAAUUGCGUUCUAAGUACAUAAGUCUCAUAGACAUACACAUGUGAUAAAAUUUCUAAUGUAUAUAUAUUUUUUCUCAACAAUUUCUAGUAUAUAUAUAUAAUUGUGUCGGAUGUAUUUUCAUGCAUUAAUGAUUAUUUCUCAAAAUUAUGGAUAUGAAAUUCACGAAGGAGUUUAUAAAUUCGACAAAUUUAUCCUUUUUUAAAUAUAUAAUUAUUCAUAAUGUCUGCAUUUUAUUCUUACAAUUUAUUUAUAAAUGAAAUCUAAAUCUAGAAUUUCAAAUUCAUGUUCCCAAAUACAACAUGAGUUAAUUGAUGGAAACCCUUUCAUUUGUUAAUCUUAGCUAAUACAUAUAUUUAGGCAUUUUGUUAACUAGUAAUUAUAUAUACAUUUGAAGAACAUGUGAAGGCAAUGGAUUUUUGGGGAUUAAUGGUUGUUUUGCUUAGUUUAUGAAGAGUUUUUCAAGUAUUAAAAGUAAGCCACUUUUAACACUAUAUCAUUUUUUUUUGGUGAAUGAUAAGAGAGAAGUAAAACUCUAACAACAACGCGACUAGCACGACUCAAAUCCAUACCAUACCUGCGGCAAUGAACACCCCAACCAAAUGAAAGUAAUAUAAUAAGCAUGUUUAAUGAAAUUUUGUUUUGUAAUAUAUAUUUUAACUUUCCUUCAAUAAUUCAUAAAAGUAUAAAGAGGAGAAUUAUUGUUCUUUUUCCAUUUUUAUGUUAAAAUUUAUGAUUCGGUUUAGUAAAGUUGAGUCUUUAAAAAGGUUAAAAAAAAUUAAAUUAUUAUCCUAUAGUUUAUCUACAUUAAGAUAAACCUUAAAUUCUAACCUAAAUGGACCGAUCGAAUAGGUUAGACCUGCGAACCAGUUGUCUGAUCAGUUCGACUUCUUCUAAUUCUAAAAACCUUGCAAAUUACAUAAUUACUUUAAAAUGGAAAAUUUUUCAUUUAAGCCUUUUGUAAUUUAUAAAAUUUUAAAUAGGAAUGGUAAAAUUGUACUUUGCCCCCUCAAAAAUGAUAAAGAUAUAGGCUAUUAAAAUAUUAAAAUAACAAAAUUAUAUUUUUACUAUCAUAAAAAAUAUAUAAUUUAAUUUCGCCCCAAAAUUUUUUUUUUUUGACUUUACACAUGCCCCUUAAGUCGUAUUUUGAAUCCGCCACUAAUUUAAAUAAAGGUAAAUAUUUUUUAAUUACUUGAAAAAUAAAAAUGAAAAUCUUAAUUUUAGGUCUACUUUAGGCUCAAAAUUAAACUACCAGUCUUUCCAAUUGGUAGCUGGCUUCAUCUUGUGCUUACCUAAAUUUUUUGUAGUUUCUACGUACCACCUGUUCUUCCAUGCAAAACACAAUUUUCUGAACUGCCUAACGGUCAACCGUUUUAUCUACGUAAAAUAAAGUUUUUCUAUUUUAGAAAUAUAUUAUUAGUAAUUAAAUUAGAGUAGAAUUUUUAGGUAAAUAAUAAUGUUACUUAUGUUAAUAGGUAAUGGCAUAUUGUUGGUUAAGGGCAGAGAUACCGAGUCUUUAAACACUUAAAUUUGAGUUUUAUUAUGCAUAAUUGUAAUGUGUGGAUUCAAGAAGAGGGACCAAAAUUUAAUUACAAACUUUUUAGAAGUCGAAAUCAUAUAUUAAUUUAUAGUUUUAUUAUUUUAAAGGUGACUAAACAAGCAAUUUUUCAUUUGGGGCUCCCUUAAAUUCACCGCUGAGUGGAUCUCAAGCCGUCACGCAUGGGUUUUUUUUCUCGAUUUUCUUCAUCUAUUGUGUUUUAUACUUGUUUGAUUCUAUGUUAUAAUUGUUCGUAUAAAUAUUUAUACUUAUAGUAUACUUGUGAAUGUACCAUAUUUUAAAGCCAAAUACAAGCUAAGUUGUUGAAAUAGGUAUUAUAGGUAAUUGUUCAUAAACAACAUAAUAAAUUUGAUGAAUUAAUUUGUUGAUAGGAUAGGUAUAUAUACCAUUUAACCUUAUGAAAUCAUGAUUAUAGUACAUUUUUAAUGUAUUAUUUUAAUGUUAAUUAGGACCAUAAAUGAACUGACUUAAAUAAAUUUAUAGUAAAAAAUUUAAAAUAAUAUUUGCAUUCGUUUAUUUAAACUUUUGUGUGUUUAUAUUGAUUCGUUUAAGUUAAAUGAGCCUAUUCCUAAAUAUUAAACAAACAGGUUCUUGAACAUAUAACUAAGCAUAUUCACAAACAAUAUUCAUGAAUAAUAAGAUAUAAAUAAACUUAUUAUUCGUUUAAUAAAUGAGCCUCAAAAUCUUAUUCGUUUUUAUUUAUUUAAGAUAAGCUAAUAAAAUCCAAACUAGUUUUGUCUAUUUACUAUUAUAGGGAAUUGAGUUAGGAGGCAAUUUUAGGUUGACUAUUCAAUAUUUUCAUUAUGAGAUAGAGAUUUUUAAAUUCUUCAAUCUUCAUAGAAUAAAAAUAAAUAAAAUUUAUUUUUUAAUAAAGAAUAUAAUAUAAAACAAUUUUAUUGUCAGAAGGGUUCUUUUAUUAAUAAAAUAAAAAAAAAUUAAUAUUUAAAGAUUAUUUAAAAAAUUAUUUUCUUUGCACUUUAACUUAUGAAUUUUUCAAUUUUCCAAAACAUUGAUGAAUAUAAUGAAGAAUUUUUUUAAUUUUUUUUACAUAUUUGUAUGUUAAUUUUAUUUUGAAAAAUAUUUUUUAUUUUCUCAUAUCAAACACAUAAUAUUGUUUAAAUUUAAAUUAUUAAUUUAUUUCAAUUAAAAUAUUGUACUUGGUAUUUAUAUUACACAUGGGAAACUUUCCACGCUAUGAGAGGGUUGGUCAACACACGCAAAAAAGUAUUUACAUAACUAGGGCCGAAAUUAGAAUAUUUUUGUGGGAACGGAAUUAAGUUGUAUAUUUUUAUUACAGUAAAAAUAUAUUUUUAUUAUUUUAAUAGCCUAUAUUUUUAUAAUUUUUAAAAGAUUAAAUUAAUUUUUUAUCAUUUUAGGGGUCAAAGUGCAAUUUUAUCAUUACUAAUUUAAAAUUUUAUAAAUUAUAAAAGGGAAAAUUUUCAUUUUAAACGGGUCAAGCUAUCUACAAAAGUUCAAAAUGUCUGAUAUUUGAAAAUGUUUGGACAAAAAUAUUAAGCCAAAAAAAAUAGACUUGAACAAAAAUUAAAUGUUUAAAGUAUGAGUCGAGCCCAGGUUCCAACAUUCAAGGCCUAAGCUUAACCUAUUUCGAUCUAUUUUACUUAUGUAAUAUAAUGUAUCUAACACUACCCAAACAUUAAAAAAAAUUGUUAUCUAUAUGUUUAAAUUUUUAAUACAAGCUUAUAAAAAAAAUUAAAAAUAACACAAGCAUGCCUAAAAUGAGCUUGGGUUAGUCAUUUACAAACAUGGACGAACUUGAACAAGUAUAAAGUGUUUUAAUGUCAUACAUAGGUCUAGUCCAAAUUCGAUUCGGCUCGACCAUAAACACCUCUAAGUCACGGGAGUAAAAUUAUUUUCUAAAAUUAUAUUUAAAAUGACAUUCAUUAUGAUUAAAAUAAUAUAAUAAAUUCGAAUUCAAAUAAUUUUAACACUAACAAUAAAAACCAUACGUGAAAGUAUAAAUUAAAACAUACACAAUUUCAUAAAAUGUUUAUAAAUUACAAUAUUACAAAUUAAUUUCUACUAUAUAAUGAGUAAAUAAUCAUCAAUUUCAUACUUUUAAUCUUAUUAUAUAAUGUAAAAAUAUAUAUAAUAAAUCUCCCACGAAGAAAAUCGAAAUUAGUGUAACAAUAAUAAUUACUUUUAAUUAAUAUCUCAAAUUAAUGUAUUUUUUUAUAAUUAUUUUGAUCUUUUUUUUCAACAUUUUGAAGUUCUUUUACAUUUAUUUGUGCCAAGAAAAAACAAAGUCAAAAUUCACCAUUUUUCAACAAAAUCAUCAACCACAAUGUUAUGAACAAACAAAUAUAUAUAUAAAUGAAAAAAAAAUAAAGAACAAGACUAACCUGGAAAAAAAAACCUUGUUUAGCGGUUUGAUCCGGCUCGUUUUUCAAAUUUAAUUGUGUUCCAAUAUGAUUAUCGAACAUCGAAAACGGUUUCCGAACUGAAUGCAUUGACAUGUAUUUUUGAAAAAUAAAAAAUAUUAUGAACUUAAAAAUAUAAAGAAAAAAAGAGAGUACAUAAGAAAGGAAGAAGAACUUUUUGGGGAGUGUUUAAUGUAUGAGCAAAAUAAUAGUAAUGAUGAUAAUAGAAAGGGUUUUAAGGGUGCAAUAACCUGAAACUUAAGGACACGUGUAGGUUAU